rnacentral:rRNA from 1 species
AGAGUUUGAUCCUGGCUCAGGAUGAACGCUGGCGGCAUGCCUAAUACAUGCAAGUCGAACGGAGAAGCCUAACAGAAGAUGCUUGCAUCGGAAGAUAGAUACUUCUCAGUGGCGAACGGGUGAGUAACACGUAGGUAACCUGCCCAUGUGCCCGGGAUAAUUUCUGGAAACGGAAACUAAAACCGGAUAGGUAAUAGAGAAGCAUUUCUGUAUUAUUAAAGAAGCCUCAAAGCUUUGAACAUGGAUGGACCUGCGGUGCAUUAGCUAGUUGGUAAGGUAACGGCCUACCAAGGCGACGAUGCAUAGCCGACCUGAGAGGGCGAACGGCCACAUUGGGACUGAGACACGGCCCAAACUCCUACGGGAGGCAGCAGUAGGGAAUUUUCGUCAAUGGGGGGAACCCUGAACGAGCAAUGCCGCGUGAGUGAAGACGGUCUUCGGAUUGUAAAGCUCUGUUGUGAGAGAAAAAGGAUAUAUAUAGGAAAUGAUAUGUAUUUGAUGGUAUCUCACCAGAAAGUCACGGCUAACUACGUGCCAGCAGCCGCGGUAAUACGUAGGUGGCGAGCGUUAUCCGGAAUGAUUGGGCGUAAAGGGUGCGUAGGUGGCAGAUCAAGUCUGGAGUAAAAGGUAUGGGCUCAACCCGUACUGGCUCUGGAAACUGAUCAGCUAGAGAACAGAAGAGGACGGCGGAACUCCAUGUGUAGCGGUAAAAUGCGUAGAUAUAUGGAAGAACACCGGUGGCGAAGGCGGCCGUCUGGUCUGGAUUCUGACACUGAAGCACGAAAGCGUGGGGAGCAAAUAGGAUUAGAUACCCUAGUAGUCCACGCCGUAAACGAUGAGAACUAGGUGUUGGGGGAAUAACUCAGUGCCGCAGUUAACGCAAUAAGUUCUCCGCCUGGGGAGUAUGCACGCAAGUGUGAAACUCAAAGGAAUUGACGGGGGCCCGCACAAGCGGUGGAGUAUGUGGUUUAAUUCGAAGCAACGCGAAGAACCUUACCAGGCCUUGACAUCCCUUGCAGAGGUAUAGAGAUAUAUCCGAGGUUAUCAAGGAGACAGGUGGUGCAUGGUUGUCGUCAGCUCGUGUCGUGAGAUGUUGGGUUAAGU